rnacentral:rRNA from 1 species
UACGUAGGGUGCGAGCGUUAAUCGGAAUUACUGGGCGUAAAGCGUGCGCAGGCGGUUUUGUAAGCCAGAUGUGAAAGCCCCGGGCUUAACCUGGGAAUGGCAUUUGGGACUGCAAGGCUGGAGUGUGGCAGAGGAGACUGGAAUUCCUGGUGUAGCAGUGAAAUGCGUAGAGAUCAUGAGGAAGACCAGUGGCGAAGGCGGGUCUCUGGACAGUUCCUGACACUGAGGCACGAAGGCCAGGGGAGCAAACGGG